rnacentral:rRNA from 1 species
GACGAACGCUGGCGGCGUGCUUAACACAUGCAAGUCGAACGGUGAAGGGACCAGCUUGCUGGUUCUGGAUGAGUGGCGAACGGGUGAGUAACACGUGAGUAACCUGCCCCCUUCUUCUGGAUAACCGCAUGAAAGUGUGGCUAAUACGGGAUAUUCUGGGUCUGUCGCAUGGCGGGCCCGGGAAAGAUAUUGCUUCGGUGGGGGAUGGGCUCGCGGCCUAUCAGCUUGUUGGUGGGGUGAUGGCCUACCAAGGCGGUGACGGGUAGCCGGCCUGAGAGGGUGGACGGUCACACUGGGACUGAGACACGGCCCAGACUCCUACGCGAGGCAGCAGUGGGGAAUAUUGCACAAUGGGCGCGAGCCUGAUGCAGCGACGCCGCGUGAGGGAUGGAGGCCUUCGGGGUGUAAACCUCUUUCGCCAGUGAAGCAGGCCUGCUCCUUGUGGGUGGGUUGACGGUAGCUGGAUAAGAAGCGCCGGCUAACUACGUG